rnacentral:rRNA from 1 species
UACGGAGGGUGCAAGCAUUGAUCGGAAUUACUGGGCGUAAAGGGCGCGUAGGCGGCUUUAUAAGUCAGAUGUGAAAUUCCGUGGCUCAACCACGGAGCUGCAUUUGAAACUGCAAAGCUAGAGGUUAGUUAGGGAAAACGGAAUUCCACGUGUAGCGGUGAAAUGCGUAGAUAUGUGGAGGAACACCAGUGGUGAAGACGGUUUUCUGGGCUAAUACAGACGCUGAGGCGCGAAAGCAUGGGGAGCAAACAGG